rnacentral:rRNA from 1 species
AUGCAUAACUAUGCUCUAUUUCCCCUGAGGGCUCACGCUCACGCGCUUACACGCUCCCACACUCGCGCAACCACGGCGACUCCACGCCUCCCGCUCGCCAUUGCCCCCACCGCAGAUCUAGCCGCUCCGACCUCGCGGCAUGCCUCCACGGCGGCGAGGCCUGAGGACGGCGGCCGAGGCCGCUCCCCCUCCCCCUCCCCCUUCCCCCUCUCGAUUCCCUCCCCACAUCCACGAAGCCUUCGCGGAGAUGGUGAGGUUGAUUUCACCGGUUCCGAAGGGGGUACUCAUGGCGACUGGGGCUCAGGGGUGGGUGGAGCGUGCGACCAGGAUUCGCGACGCCGCUGCGGCGUGGAUUCGGCAUGUUCAGGAGUGGAAGGUGGCAGAUCAGGCGGUGGCGGCGGCGAGGGAUCUGGACACACGAGCCGCGGCGGCCAGGUAUGCAGAGGUUUGCCAGACGAGAGCAGAGGGAGAGCAGAGGAUCCUGGCGAAGCAGAUCUACGACGAGGCCACGGCGGAGGAGAGGAUGAGGAUGCUUGCCUUUCCUCACUCCUCGUCGGCCGCGUUCGUGAUGUGGGCGAGGGCGGAGGCAAAGUCAGAGGAUCCCCGGAGGGCGCUGCGAUGGGAGUGCUUGCUGGGAGUGAUAGCAUCAGGUGCGCCGCUGCAAAUCUCAUCCUGGCCACCGGCGUCCAGUCGGGAUUGAGCUCGGCUGCCCAUACGGUGCGUUCCACGCCGCCAGGAUCUGCAAGUCAGGGGAAAAGGGCCUCGCCGGCCAGUAGGCGGGUCUCGCCGCCGCCGUUGGUGAUGACCUCGCCGAGUAGAAUAGUCAACGGCAAAGCUAGGAGGGCUCUUCUGCUUGGGAGAGGUGAAAUCGGACGGGGCGAGAAGGGGCCACGUGGCGCAGUGGUGACCGCCGAUGCUAGUGGGGUGACGAAGCAGGCGCAUAAUGAUAAUACGCCUUCCAGUGGAAAUUCUCGAGAGGCCAAUAAAUCCCCCCAUGCUAGGGUUCGCCGCCAGAGGGCCUCUAACCGAAACCUGGUCUGGAUCAGGAAGGAGUUGGUAGAGAAGGGCGAGUUCUCUGCCGAUGACUGCCACCCUAUAGGGAGAUCAGAUCGGCUACCACCACCAAAGCAAUUCAGUUUUUUGAGAGAUCUGUGGUCUAGGCAGACUGGGCGAAUUGCGUUUGCGGAGGUUGUUAAGAAGAUGGCUGGCGGAGGAGGUCGAGAAAAUUCAAGGGGAGGAGGAAAAUAUGCGGCAGGAAGGGGGAGGAAUGAGUUGGGGAGACCUACAGCUCCAACGACCGUCCCCACUGUUCCUCCAGCUAGGCCCCGUGCGCAAAAUUCAGGCCCCCCUGUGAAUAUCUUCUCCAGACCACCGAUUGCGCCGCUGAUGCCUGGACCGAAUAUGGUUCCUCCCGGCCACAUGUUCCCUGGUUACCAUGGAGGGGGCUGGGGCAACCACUACAAUCAGAUGCCGCAGUGGCCACAACAGAUGCAGUUUUCGUACCAGUAUAUCCCACCGCCUGUUGGUCCUCCAAUCAAUUACCAACAGCAGCCUGCGAGGAGCAGCAGUGGGCAGAUUGGGGGAGCAUGCAGCCUGUGUAGUUGGGGCAACCUGGAACUAGUAAGUCCAAGAAGAAGCAGAAGGCUAAGACUCUGA